UACGUAGGUGGCGAGCGUUGUCCGGAUUUACUGGGCGUAAAGGGCGUGCAGGCGGUUUGUUAAGUGCAGGGUGAAAGCUCCCGGCUCAACUGGGAGAGGUCCUUGCAUACUGGCGAACUCGAGGGAGGCAGAGGAAAGUGGAAUUCCCGGUGUAGUGGUGAUAUGCGUAGAUAUCGGGAGGAACACCUGUGGCGAAGGCGGCUUUCUGGGCCUUAUCUGACGCUGAGACGCGAAAAGCGUGGGGGAGCGAACCGG
rnacentral:rRNA from 1 species